rnacentral:rRNA from 1 species
GACGAACGCUGGCGGCGUGCUUAACACAUGCAAGUCGAACGGAAAGGCUCCAGCUUGCUGGAGUACUCGAGUGGCGAACGGGUGAGUAACACGUGGGUAAUCUGCCCUGCACUCUGGGAUAAGCCUGGGAAACUGGGUCUAAUACUGGAUAUGACCUUUCUCCUUAUGGGGUUUGGUGGGAAGUUUUUCGGUGUAGGAUGAGCCCGCGGCCUAUCAGCUUGUUGGUGGGGUGAUGGCCUACCAAGGCGACGACGGGUAGCCGGCCUGAGAGGGUGAUCGGCCACAUUGGGACUGAGAUACGGCCCAGACUCCUACGGGAGGCAGCAGUGGGGAAUAUUGCACAAUGGGCGGAAGCCUGAUGCAGCGACGCCGCGUGAGGGAUGACGGCCUUCGGGUUGUAAACCUCUUUCAGCAGGGACGAAGCGUAAGUGACGGUACCUGCAGAAGAAGCACCGGCUAACUAUGU